rnacentral:rRNA from 1 species
AAACCAACAGGGAUUACCUCAGUAACGGCGAGUGAAGCGGUAACAGCUCAAAUUUGAAAUCUGGCUCUUUCAGGGUCCGAGUUGUAAUUUGUAGAAGAUGCUUCGGGUGUGGUCCCGGUCUAAGUUCCUUGGAACAGGACGUCAUAGAGGGUGAGAAUCCCGUAUGUGACUGGGUGCCUUCGCUCAUGUGAAGCUCUUUCGACGAGUCGAGUUGUUUGGGAAUGCAGCUCUAAAUGGGUGGUAUAUUUCAUCUAAAGCUAAAUAUUGGCCAGAGACCGAUAGCGCACAAGUAGAGUGAUCGAAAGAUGAAAAGCACUUUGGAAAGAGAGUUAAACAGUACGUGAAAUUGUUGAAAGGGAAGCGCUUGCAACCAGACUUGCCCGCCGUCGAUCAUCCGGGGUUCUCCCCGGUGCACUCGGUGGCGUUCAGGCCAGCAUCGGUUUCGGGGGUGGGAUAAAGGCCUUGGGAAUGUAGCUUCUUUUGGGGAGUGUUAUAGCCCUCGGUGCAAUGCCGCCUCUCGGGACCGAGGACCGCGCUUCGGCUAGGAUGCUGGCGUAAUGGUUGUAAGCGAC